rnacentral:pre_miRNA from 1 species
GUCAUCCAACUAUGAAAAGUUACAAAAUGGUCAUCUAACUAUUAGUAAAUUUCUUUUUUGGCCACCCAUUAUGAAAAGUUAUAAAAUAGUCAUUCGACUAUUCAAUUUUAUCUUUUCUGGUCAACCAACUUCAUUGGAUGUUUUAGUGUUUUCAUUUUUAUAUUAGCCUGGUGACCAAAAAAGAUAAAAUUGAAUAAUGAUUGAUCAUUUUGUAACUUAUUAUGGUUGAGUAACA